AGAUUGAACGCUGGCGGCAGGCCUAACACAUGCAAGUCGAGCGGUAGAGAGGUGCUUGCACCUCUUGAGAGCGGCGGACGGGUGAGUAAUGCCUAGGAAUCUGCCUAGUGGGUGGGGGAUAACGUUCGGAAACGGACGCUAAUACCGCAUACGUCCUACGGGAGAAAGCGGGGGACCUUCGGGCCUCGCGCCAUUAGAUGAGCCUAGGUCGGAUUAGCUAGUUGGUGAGGUAAUGGCUCACCGAAGGCGACGACUCCGUAACUGGUCUGAGAGGAUGAU
rnacentral:rRNA from 1 species